AGGAGAGAAUCUCCUCCAGGAAUUUAUGACCUGCCUAACAGAGCCUGGUGUCGGGAGUAUAGAGAGAGAGGGGAUGGUGCUUGCUGUACCCAAAGAGUGAUUUUAAAGUUAGAUACUGGAUGUAUUCAGUCGGGAACAAAGGCAUGUUAGCGUUAGCUAACGUUAGCUAAACCAUUUCUGCCUCAAUGGGUAACUAGCAGUAGCUAGUUAGCUAUUAGCUCACAUUAAAUUGCACAAGAGGUCACCGAAUUGACCAGUCAACAGAAGCUAGCUAACGGGUGACUUUUAACACAGAUCAGUGAAGAGGAAGUAGGACUUGGACAAUUUGGACGACACGUCGCUACAUAUAUCAGUAAAGUCUUGUUGCGCACCCUGACACGGGAUGAUAGAAGGGAUAUUUUUCCAGGACCAGAGCACAUUCUGAGGAGAAGCAGUAUCUUGCAAACAAUCCAUCCUGAGAAGUCCAUGGAGCUCGUUGUUGCACGUCAUGGAGCAGAGGGCAAACAUCCACUCAGAGACACCCCAGGCAGUGGCUGAGACGACAGGGUGAGAACACAAAACCACAGGGCGUCGGUCUGGACCCGGAGGAACAUGAGGGGGAAUACAUUGAGAGGAUUGGAGAGGACCUGAGCCCUAGGACCAUGCCUCAGGUCUACCCGGCCUGAUGACUACUUGCGGUCCCCAGUCCACCUGGCCCUGCUGCUGCUCCAGUUUAAACUGUUCUGCCUGCGGCUAUGGAACCAUGACCUGUUCACCGGACGUGCUACUUGUCCCAGACCUGAUGUUUUCAACUCUCAAGAGACAGCAGGAGCGGUAGAGAUACUCUGAAUGAUCGGCUAUGAAAAGCCAGCUGACAUUUACUCCUGAGGUGCUGACCUGUUGCACCAUUGACAACCACUGUGAUUAUUAUUAUUUGACCCUGCUGGUCAUCUAUGAACAUUUGAGCAUAUUGGCCAUGUUCUGUAAUAAUCUCCACCCGGCACAGCCAGAAGAGGACUGGCCACCCCUCAUAGCCUGGUUCCUCUCUAGGUUUCUUCCUAGGUUCUGGCCUUCCUGAGGAGUUUCUCCUAGCCACUGUGCUUCUACACCUGCAUUGCUUGCUGUUUGGGGUUUUAGGCUGGGUUUCUGUACAGCACUUUGAGAUAUCAGCUGAUGUAAGAAGGGC
ensembl:lncRNA